rnacentral:rRNA from 1 species
UACGUAGGGUGCAAGCGUUAUCCGGAAUUAUUGGGCGUAAAGAGCUCGUAGGCGGCUUGUUACGUCGUUCGUGAAAACUUGGGGCUCAACCCCAAGCUUGCGGUCGAUACGGGCAGGCUAGAGUUCGGUAGGGGAGACUGGAAUUCCUGGUGUAGCGGUGAAAUGCGUAGAUAUCGGGAGGAACACCAGUGGCGAAGGCGACUUCCUGGCCUGUUCUUGACGCUGAGGCGCGAAAGCUAGGGGAGCAAACGGG